GUUAGGAAUAUUGGACAAUGGGCGCAAGCCUGAUCCAGCCAUGCCGCGUGAACGAUGAAGGCCUUCGGGUUGUAAAGUUCUUUAGCCGAUGAUUAUAAUGACUGUAGUCGGAAAAUAAGCCCCGGCUAACUUCGUGCCAGCAGCCGCGGUAAUACGAAGGGGGCGAGCGUUAUUCGGAAUCACUGGGCGUAAAGCGUGCGUAGGCGGUCUCGUAAGUUAGGAGUGAAAGCCCAGGGCUCAACCUUGGAAUUGCUCUUAAAACUGCAAGGCUAGAAUCUCGGAGAGGAUAGCGGAAUUUCCAGUGUAGCAGUGAAAUGCGUAGAUAUUGGAAGGAACACCAGUGGCGUAAGCGGCUAUCUGGACGAGUAUUGACGCUGAGGCACGAAAGCGUGGGGAUCAAACAGGAUUAGAAACCCUAGUAGUCA
rnacentral:rRNA from 1 species